AGGACGAACGCUGGCGGCGUGCUUAACACAUGCAAGUCGAGCGGAAAGGCCCUUCGGGGUACUCGAGCGGCGAACGGGUGAGUAAUACGUGAGCAACCUGCCCUUAGCUCUGGGAUAGCUCCGGGAAACCGGAAUUAAUACCGGAUAUGACCUAGGCCGACAUCGGCCGUGGUGGAAAGUUUUUCGGCUAGGGAUGGACUCGCGGCCUAUCAGCUAGUUGGUGGGGUAAUGGCCUACCAAGGCGACGACGGGUAGCCGGCCUGAGAGGGCGACCGGCCACACUGGGACUGAGACACGGCCCAGACUCCUACGGGAGGCAGCAGUGGGGAAUCUUGCGCAAUGGGCGAAAGCCUGACGCAGCGACGCCGCGUGGGGGAUGAAGGCCUUCGGGUUGUAAACCCUUCAGCAGGGACGAAGCGAAAGUGACGGUACCUGCAGAAGAAGCGCCGGCUAACUACGCGCCAGCAGCCGC
rnacentral:rRNA from 1 species